rnacentral:misc_RNA from 1 species
UACGCGCCUGGAUACCUUUUUCCACGAUCCUCUACCGUCUCUCCUGUCUCGCUCUUUCCAACAUUUUCUCCCUUUUUAUUGUUCCUUUCUUUCAUUCUGCGUUGUCGUCGCCUCGUCAAGAACAGUUCUUCUUAAUUUCUUCCGGGACUUAUUCUCUCAACCGUAUACCGUAACCUGAGAUCGUGUUAAACUUCAUCAAGGGUGAAGGAGCUUCCUUGUUGGUGCAAUUCUUUCUAAAAGGUUAAGAGCUCCACUUAUCCUUGCUGCAUGCGUAUUUAUGUGUUGUUCGGUGGCUGCGCAUGGCGUUGACGAAUGCUGAAAGGAUAUUGUUCGAAGAAAGACGCGUUGUAAUCGACUUACGGUCGAUCGAGGUGGCUUCUUUCAUCGAAUCCAAUCAGCAAGCCUCGGGUAUGAAACAGCGGGGACAUCCAUUCUCUCGCCUCCUUCGAUCGGCGUGCACAAUCGCGAAGGAUAGAAAACGCGCGACAGAGACGCACGAGGGCCAUCGAGCGGAAGAGGACCAUUGGUAAACAGGAAUUUCGGCGCGCUCUGGUCAAGACUCCGCAGGGACGUCGUUUAAUUUCCUCGAGGACAGCGGCGCGAUGUAUCGAGCGCGCGCGGAUGAACAGGCGACAUUUUUUAGUCUCCACUCGACGAGCGCCAGCCUUUUAAAGGCUUUUCUUGUGACCGUUUAGGCUAUUAGACGAGAACGAGCGUAGGGACGAGCGUGGUCAAAAAGGGUGGCCAUUUCCUAGCAAUUUCCUGACGCUGUUUUUCACGUGAACUUUUGAACUGUUCCCUUUCCUCUCCUACCCUGGCACCUUUUCACUGGAAAAUAUUCGCUAAGUAGCCACGGCAAGACUGGCCGAUUAUAAAUGGCCCACGCUCCGGCCUUUUAUGUCCAGAUGCGUCCUGUAUAUUUAAUGCGAGCUGGACAACGAUCCGUGUGCUUGGCGAACGAAAAAGACUCGAAAAUUAACGAGCUGUCUUGGUAGCUUGAGUUUCCGCCGAACAAAGUUUCCGGCCCCUG